GAACUCUUUAGCUUGCUAAAGAUAGUAAAGUGGCGCACGGGUGAGUAACGCGUGGGUAAUCUCCCUCCAAAUCUGGAAUAACCCCGCGAAAGCGGGGCUAAUACCGGAUAAUAUCCCAAGAACUUCGGUUUUUGGGCUCAAAGGUGGCCUCUACACGUAAGCUAUCAUUUGGAGAUGAGCCCGCGUACCAUUAGCUUGUUGGUAGGGUAACGGCCUACCAAGGCUUCGAUGGUUAGCUGGUCUGAGAGGAUGAUCAGCCACACUGGAACUGACACACGGUCCAGACUCCUACGGGAGGCAGCAGUGAGGAAUUUUGCGCAAUGGGCGAAAGCUUGACGCAGCAACGCCGCGUGAGUGAUGAAGGCCUUCGGGUCGUAAAGCUCUGUCAAGUGGGAAGAACCUGUAUCAUGCCAAUACCAUGAUGCAUUGACGGUACCACUGAAGGAAGCACCGGCUAACUCCGUGCCAGCAGCCGCGGUAAUUCA
rnacentral:rRNA from 1 species